UGGGGAAUAUUGGACAAUGGGCGCAAGCCUGAUCCAGCCAUGCCGCGUGAAGGAUGAAGUAUUUCGGUAUGUAAACUUCGAAAGAAUAGGAAGAAUAAAUGACGGUACUAUUUAUAAGGUCCGGCUAACUACGUGCCAGCAGCCGCGGUAAUACGUAGGGACCAAGCGUUGUUCGGAUUUACUGGGCGUAAAGGGCGCGUAGGCGGCAUGACAAGUCACUUGUGAAAUCUCUGGGCUUAACCCAGAAUGGCCAAGUGAUACUGUCGCGCUAGAGUGCAGAAGGGGCAAUCGGAAUUCUUGGUGUAGCGGUGAAAUGCGUAGAUAUCAAGAGGAACACCUGAGGUGAAGACGGGUUGCUGGGCUGACACUGACGCUGAGGCGCGAAAGCCAGGGGAGCAAACGGGAUUAGAUACCCCAGUAGUCCCUGAGCGGGCUGGCAAGGCGCAU
rnacentral:rRNA from 1 species